rnacentral:rRNA from 1 species
UGCGUAGGGUGCAAGCGUUGUCCGGAAUUAUUGGGCGUAAAGAGCUCGUAGGCGGUUCGUCGCGUCGGCUGUGAAAUCCCGAGGCUCAACCUCGGGUCUGCAGUCGAUACGGGCGGACUGGAGUUCGGCAGGGGAGACUGGAAUUCCUGGUGUAGCGGUGAAAUGCGCAGCUAUCAGGAGGAACACCGGUGGCGAAGGCGGGUCUCUGGGCCGAUACUGACGCUGAGGAGCGAAAGCGUGGGGAGCGAACAGG